GCCCGGAUGGUCUAGUGGUAUGAUUCGCGCUUCGGGGUAAACAAACCAGAGUAUGCGCGAGGUCCCGCGUUCGAAUCGCGGUUCGGGCC